rnacentral:rRNA from 1 species
GACGAACGCUGGCGGCGUGCUUAACACAUGCAAGUCGAACGGAAAGGCCCUGCUUGCAGGGUACUCGAGUGGCGAACGGGUGAGUAACACGUGGGUGAUCUGCCCUGCACUUCGGGAUAAGCCUGGGAAACUGGGUCUAAUACCGGAUAGGAGCCAUUUUUAGUGUGAUGGUUGGAAAGUUUUUUCGGUGUAGGAUGAGCUCGCGGCCUAUCAGCUUGUUGGUGGGGUAAUGGCCUACCAAGGCGGCGACGGGUAGCCGGCCUGAGAGGGUGGACGGCCACAUUGGGACUGAGAUACGGCCCAGACUCCUACGGGAGGCAGCAGUGGGGAAUAUUGCACAAUGGGCGCAAGCCUGAUGCAGCGACGCCGCGUGGGGGAUGACGGCCUUCGGGUUGGAAACUCCGUUCGCUAGGGACGAAGCUUUUUGUGACGGUACCUAGAUAAGAAGCACCGGCUAACUACGUG